UAUAAAUCUACUUUUAUUCAUAGAUUUUAACUGAUAUAACGUUAAAUGCCAUCAAAGAGGAGUAGUGUUUUGUAUCUUUGUAGGUUUUCUCAUUUAAUUUAAUAAAUAAAUGCUCUGUUUGGUUAAUUAGCUCAAAAGCAGUCUCAGAGGUGGUCACGUUAACUGUAAAAAUCGAAUAUAACCUUACCUGUUUUAAAUUAUUUGAAAUUUAUCACUAUAACCUAUACAGUAUUAACUUUCUAAUUAUUCAAUUUUUAACCGUAGUAACGUUAAUUAGUUUGUUUGAAUGCCUGCUGCUCGAGCUUGAUGAUGCUCAUGCUAGCCAUGCUGUGAACUUGAAUAUAAACCGAUAGAACGUUAAAUAUAAAGUUUAACGUUAAUUAGACCGAGGCUGCCGAAAUCAUGUUCAGUGUAACGUUAUGUGGGAUUAAUAAUUUCCCCUUUUCUCCCUCAAGUGGCAGGCUUGUAAAUUCUGUCAUCUGUUCAUUAUUGGUGUUGAUGGUGUUUUUCACAUGCAUGCUUUUUAAUGCUAGUUUAAUUCUCAAAUUGAUCUGAUACUUUCGUUUCACAAAAAGUAAACAAAUUGUUCACUUUCUUAGGGCCUGACAACCACCAGUUGAGUCCAUGAUUCAGGGAAGAGACAGUCUGGGCAGCAGCAACAAGACAACUAUUACAAGUAGAGAUGGGUUUCAAGAACCGGUACUAAUUUGGUUCCUGACUUGUUCGACACAACCACAUAUCCUCCAAAUCAUCUCUGCGUGGAUGGCAGGAUCCAGGAUCAAGAGAUCAUUCUUCAUGGAGACUGUUCCACAGGAAGCAGUUUCUCCUGGGUCAUCCUGACCAUUGUGCUGUCCAGGAUGUAAGGCCGUGCUGGAACUACAUUUCUCGUGGUUGAAAGAUUUGUGCAGCGGUAUCCAGACAUAUAACGCCCCAUCACACGGGGCGUCAACGCCUCUCGUUUACUUUUAAAUGAAGUGACGUCAAGCAUGGUGAAAUUAAUUCUGGGUCCGUUGGUCGUGGCAGAAGUUGAAGACUUCUCAAGCGCCAAUGCAGCCAUCCUCCAGUCAGAACGUCUUAUACCUAUACCCUAGCGCAGACGCAAGCCAAUCGAGUGCUUGCAAUACCAGAACACUAAUGUGAUUGGCUGUCACUAUGAGAAGAGACAGUAAUUACGAUCUGAUAUCAGUGUUGUUUUUAAAAAAUUUUUUAAAUGAAUGUAGAAUUUCUAUGCUUAUGUGUAGGGAUGUAAAUUUUCAAUAAUUUCCAUGAUCGAUCCUCAUUUAAAUUAAUGAUCAAUUAAUCGAUUAAUUGUUAACCUUAAUGCUGCAAAAUGAGUCUAUUGCAGCAACACCCAGUCACCAGUAUGACAGGAUGUGCAAAAGUGUGUGUGUGUGUGUGUGUGUGUGUGUGUGUGUAUAAUGUAUGUAUGUGUGUGUAUGUGUGUGUGUGUAAAAUAGAUUUCUUUUAAAUGUAUAGCACAGUAAUGAAGGCAGCAACAUGUGGUAGAUGGGACAGAACAAGAAAGAGUUAAUAAUCUUUCAUUCUGCUAAUGUAUUAUAAUAGGAAAGGGUAUGGCUCCUAUACAGUGCACAGCGUGUAAACACAACCAGUGCAGAAUGAUGAGCAACACGGAGUCACAGCGUGUAGCAUUACUCAUUGUUCAAAACGCCAAGGGAAGAGAUAUUGAUGUUGUGUAUUGUAUGUGUGCAAUAUUUUGAGCCUUUUCUUUUAACAGAUUUAAAUCUCUCUCUUGAAGAGAGUUUCAUUGUUUUGACUGUAGUAACUAGGACUGGGAUGAUAUAAUAAUCUGCCAACUCAAUACUAUCCAGAUACUUGUGUGCCCAUUCAAUAUAUAUUUAUAAUUAUAUUUAUAUAAUUUAGCAUUGUAAUUAUAGUUAUAUAACUAUUGCAAUUCGUGACUUAUCCAAAUCGUCUAUAAAAUGAUUUGUUUGUUUGUGUAGAUUUGAGGGAAAGAUUAAAAAUUGUUUAUUACAAGUUGUGUUUUCAUUUAAAUGUAGCAAUGUACACAGUUGGUCAAAAGUUUUAAAUAUAUUUUAAAAGUAAAGUUUAUUUCUAUAAUGCUCCGCUGUAUUUUCAGCAUCAUUCCUCCAGUCUUCAGUGUCACAUGAUCUUCAGAAAUCAGAAUAAUAUGAUCAUUUACUGCUUAAUUCAUUUUUCUGAUUAUUAUCAGUGUUGAAAACAGUUGUGCUGCCCAAAAUAUUUGUCUACACUACAGUUACAUACAUUUUUUUUGGAAGCCUAAUAGCAAGGAUGCAUAAAAUUGAAUACCAGUGGUAGAGAAGACUUUACAAAAGAUUACCUUUUUGUUUUGUUUUUUCAAUGUUUUGAACUUUGUUUAUAAAAUAAUCAUGAAGAAAAAGUUUUCUUCCCCAUCAUUUCUUAUACUAUCUUCAUUUCCAAUAGAGUUCAGUGGAACUAAGGACCGUAGUAAGCUAACCGCAGAUGUGAUUCACAUCAUAUAUGUCAUGAGCAGAUGUACACUUUGAUCAGAGCAGCAAUAAUGUGAUUAGGUGCAUGUAAAUGCACUGAUUUGUGAUAAUCAGCAAUGUUUCCCAAGCAGCAAAUCAGUGAAUAUGAAAAAGAUCAUGUGACACUGAAGACUGGAGUAAAGGUACCGAAAAAUUCAGCUUUGCCUCAUAAUUAUUUCAAGAAAUAAAUGUUAAAGUAUAUUCGAAAAAGAGUAUGAAAACUGUUAUUUUUUUACUAUAUAUACAUAUAUAUAUAUAUAUGAUUAAAUUAAUCUAGCCUUGGUGAGCAGAAGAGACUUCUCUUGAAAACCAUAAAGAAAAGAUUCCAGAUUUUUGACUGGUUGUGAACAUACAUGAGCAACAUUAACAAGAUGAU